rnacentral:rRNA from 1 species
UGGGGAAUAUUGCACAAUGGAGGGAACUCUGAUGCAGCGACGCCGCGUGAGUGAUGAAGGAAUUCGUUUCGUAAAACUCUGUUCUAUGGGAAGAAAAGGACUGUACCAUAGGAGAAAGCUCCGGCUAAAUACGUGCCAGCAGCCGCGGUAAUACGUAUGGAGCGAGCGUUGUCCGGAAUUAUUGGGCGUAAAGGGUGCGCAGGCGGCUUUACAAGUUGGAUGUGAAAUAUUGUGGCUCAACCACAAACGUGCAUCCAAAACUGCAAAGCUUGAGUUAAGGAGAGGUAAGUGGAAUUCCUGGUGUAGCGGUUGAAUGCGUAGAUAUCAGGAGGAAUACCGGUGGCGAAGGCGACUUACUGGACUUAAACUGACGCUCAGGCACGAAAGCGUGGGGAGCAAACAGG